rnacentral:rRNA from 1 species
GCUUACGGCCAUACCACCUGAACACGCCCGAUCUCGUCCGAUCUCGGAAGCUAAGCAGGGUCGGGCCUGGUUAGUCUUGGAUGGGAGACCGCCUGGGAAUACCAGGUGCUGUAAGCU